rnacentral:rRNA from 1 species
CCUACGGGCGGCAGCAGUGAGGAAUAUUGGUCAAUGGACGAGAGUCUGAACCAGCCAAGUCGCGUGAAGGAUGACUGCCCUAUGGGUUGUAAACUUCUUUUAUAUGGGAGUAAAAUGUUCUACGUGUGGCGUUUUCUAUGUUCCAUAUGAAUAAGGCACGGCCAAACUCGGUCCCGACGCCGCGGUAAUACGGAGGAUCCGAACGUUAUCCGGAUUUAAUGGGGUUAAAGGGUGCGUAUGGUGAUAUGUAAGUCAGUUGUGAAAGUGUGGGGCGCAAACGUAACAUUGCAGUUGAAACUGGCGUUCUUGAGUAGACUAGAGGUGUGCGGAAUUCGUGGUGUAGCGGUGAAAUGCUUAGAUAUCACGAAGAACUCCGAUUGCGAAGGCAGCUCACUGGACUGCAACUGACACUGAGGCUCGAAAGUGUGGGUAUCAAACAGGAUUAGAUACCCUUGUAGUC